GAAGGGGCCGGUGCCGCGGCGGCGAAGGCGGGAACCGGCGCAACCGCUCCGACACGGAGCGGGGCGAGUCCGUCAGUCACCGGCGGUCGCCCGCGGAGAGCGGGUCCGAGCGGGAGGUAACGGGGGCUGACCGCGCCCCGGGCCCAGGAGCCCGCACCCGCCGCCUUCGCCGGACGCAGCGACGCGCUGGACGGGAGCUCUGGCAGCUGCCGGCACGUUCCGCGCGCGCUGCCAGGAACGCUGGCGGAACACGCGGGCUUCGUCCUCUGCGCCGAAACAUCUGGUAACGCGCGGCACGUAUCGUCUGUGGCUGCGGCGCUGAGGUGACUGACUGGAGGGGACCCCGCGAAAGGGCACUGCGGGAACACGGAGGGGAGAGCUGCAGACGGGGCCGGCAGGAGGGCGAAGCACAGAGCGAGGCAACUGUAGGCAAGGCUAAAAGACUAAACGCUGCUGCAGGUGACGAGGGCGCGCGUGUGAAUACGCCGCCUUCCUCCCGCAAGGCUUUAAAACGGCCUUCUCGGGGAGCGAGAUGUAAAGACAUCUGACAAGUGUACACUCAACUGAUUAAAAAACCUGAUAACUAAAUGCACAUUAUCCUUCAACAUUCCCGUUACAACCAAAGGACUGACAUCAGGCUCGUGUUUAUUUUUCCAAUUUGCAGAUAAGUAACUAGGGCUGAUGAGAAGAAUAAAGACUAUGAUUCUCUACA